UCAUUUUCAGGAGAGAAGAGUACUUCUGGGCACUUCUGUUAAGUUUUUGAAGGGCUGAGACCAUGCCAUGGAUGCAGUAGGCCCUUGGAGUCAGAGGACCAGAGUUUACAAAAGAGAAUUGAGGCCCAGACCUAGUCCAGCAUGUACUCCAGGUCACAAUUCCAAUGCUUCCAAUUAGAGACAGAUCUGUGGCCAGAAGCUGGGUGUCCUGACUUCUGUUCCAAGGUUCUAUCCAUCACACACCCAGUAGCAAUUACUGCACCUUGAUCCAAAUGGCAUAUGGCCCAUAGAUUUUUAUCUUUAGGGUUGUUCAGACCAAGCCUUCCCUUACCCUCUGCCUCUGUGUAAGUACAAAUCAGGAGCUUAUCAACAUUUCCCUUUGGGCUGUGGGUGACCCUAGUGUCUGUUGAGAAAGACAAAAGGAGCUAGCCUGAGGUUUCUUAGCUCCCUCAAAUUCCUCCCAAGUAGUUUCAGGGCUUCUCAGAGGUUAUUUCCCAGGAACUCUGAGAGCUAGUUUUUAGGUGUCAUGGUUUGAAAUCUUAAAGAGUAUCAUAAUAUCCUGGGAGCUAUCUAAAAAUUAGAUUUUAAGACAUCACUCCCAGAAAUUUUGAAUUCCUAGGUUUGUGACUGGGCCCAGGAAUAUGUUUGUCUUUAGCUCCUCACAUCAACUGAUGAUCAACCAGACCUGUGAACACCCAACUAUGUCCACAGAUCAUUCUUUCCAUGUAUAUAUUUACAGUUCACAGUAUUCUAAGCAUUGUUUGAGGCCUUGGAGAUAAGCAAUGAAAAAACCAAAGUCUGACCUCCUGGGGUUUUCAUUCCACUGGGGGAAACAGACAAUACGCAGUUAAACAACUAAAUGUGUCUUCAGUAAGUCAGCCAGUGACAGAAUGAUGGAGGAAAGAAGGUAAAGGAAGAGUGGGAGGAGGGCUGCUUUGCUCAAGAGACUACUUCCAUCCUGUGCCUUUAGAACAGAGAUUGAGAAAUAUGGGGACACAAAGUCAUGCAAAUACUGUUCAGAAGUGUGCUCUAAACAGAGGGAGUGGCUAGGUCUCAACCCUUGAGUUGGAGGGGGCAGGAUGAGCAUGGGGUUGGUGUACACAGAGAGGACAGUGUGAGCAGGAGACAAGAGUGUGGUGGGGCUGCACUCAGGACGACAAGAUGGCAAUGUUAGAAGCUGGAAGACCUGUGAGGAAGCUAAUGCAGUCCAUGGUAGACAUGAUGGGUUUGGGGACCAAGUGGUAGCAGAGGAUAUGAACUGGAUAUUGGAAAUAUUUUGAGCAUAAAAACUACUGGGAUUUGCUGAUGGAUUGGGUAUGGUGUGGGACAAGAGAAAAAAAUCAAUGGCGACUCUAAGAUAUUUGGAGUGGACAACUCAAAGGACAGAGUUGCCAUUUUGGAGAAGGAAAGAGGAGAUUUAGAAGGAAAAUCAAAAUCUAAUUUUGGAUAUGUUAGGUUUGAAAUACCUGUUAGCCAGAUGAUAAGACCAAACAGCUGUUUGGGUAUGCAAAUCAGGAGAUCUAAGGAGAAAUAUAGGCUGGAUGUAUAAAUUGGAGCAACACUGGGGUAUGGCACGAUAGAGAUCAUAAACCAAAUAUUAUCAUCUAUGGAAUGAGUAUGGAUAGAUUGGAGAAGCUCUAAAGACUAAAGCCACCUGUUCUUUAUUGUUUAGAGGUUGGAGAGAGGAGAAAGACCAGUACAGAAGCCUAGGAAGGGGUAUGCAAAGAGAAUCACCAUUUUAUUUCCCUCCCACUGUGUCUCAUUGAACAUGUGUCCUAUCGCUGCUGGUCCCUGAAACCAUAACUGAUUGACAAAAUCUCAGAGGCAUCAGUGUUGCUACAGAAAGGGCUGUUGUUGCUGCCACCAUUCUCACUUGUUCUGCAUCGCACCAAGUUAUAAAGCUUCACUUCUUUGAUUCCCAGUGUGCAUUAGAGAAAUCUCUCCUUUUUGUUUUAAUGUCAUGUAUUGGAGAAUCCUUAAGAAAGGAUUUGGGUAGGUAUCUGGAAUCCAGACAGAGUAAAUGGUCUAUCCUAGUCCAUUGUCCUUGAACUGAUUGCAUAUUUUUCAAGUAUUUUUCAGUUCUGAAUCCUAUGGUGAACACAACUUAGAUUCAAGAAGAAAUAAUAGCCAUAUUAGGAAAACAAGGGAUUGUAAAACAAUUGCUCUGGGAGGAAGCUCUUGCAAUCAUGGAAAAACCUGAGCUCUAGCACCACAGAAGUUUGGUUUCAGUUCCCAUCCAAGCAAGAAACAGAAAGCUCACAGAGAGAGACAGUUCAGACAUACUGUUCCCAGUUAUUCUCUGCAAGUGUAUGGAAAGGCUUUAUUAUAUACACUUUGAAGUGUUGGAGAGAAGAAAGCAAUUUAAUUCAACAAAAGCCAUCGAAAUGGUGUAAUCUAUUAUUGAAAUACAGGCUAUCAUAAUGUGCAGUGCACACACAUAUAACUUGUUAAAGGGCUGCUUCUCUAAUUUUCUCAUUCUGAAUGUCAGAAUCUUGACUUUAUUAGUCCAACAGCAUCCAUCCGGGAGAGAAAUCUCUAAUUAACAAGAUCUAGUAAGGUUCUUUUAUUGGGAACUUUCUAGAGAGGACUAAGACCUGACUAAGACUCCAUCCCAUGCUAUCAAGAGCUCUGACUGACCCUGCAAGGAGUUUUUUUCUGGCUUCAGUGUCCUUUUUAUUAAUCCCUGAUAAAUCUAAAGUGUAUCUUCUUAAGCCCAGGUGGGAUAUAACGUUGUGAUCCUCUGACUACUUAACUUGAAUUUUCUUUGUUUGAAGUCUCUCUGGUGGCCAUCCCCUCAGAGGAAUCCAGUAUCUUUUGAGUUCUAUAGAAACUUGAGGAAAAAAGCGUUACACAGUUAUUCUGAUUAGAAUUUUUUUUUUUAACUUACAGGUAUUAAACAUAGGUUUUUGAGGCUAUUUCAUGGGUUAGAGUAUUAAAUAUCUCUGAGGCAAGAGUGGCUCUUGAUAUUUCCAUUUUAUCAGUCUGCUUCUACUAUCACAAUGGUUCACAUUAUGACCACUGCUAAUAGAAAUGGCCGAUGGGUUGAGAGAAACUGACCAGAAAGCCUGUUCAAAUAGUGCAUGCCUGUUCUGUAUUGGAAUGGACAAACAUUCAUCUCCACUUCUGCUUUUGUAUUUCUUAUCUUCACAGAGAAAAACACAAUGAUCUGUUUAGUAACUGCAGUCAGACGCCCCCAUGUUUCUCUCCCGACUUUGUUUUCCAGAGCACUCUCCAUUCAAAUAGUCCUAAUAUCUCUUGAAUGCAGCCUCUCUUAUCUCCAGCCAAAAGGACCCUACUUCUGUCUUUUAUUAUUUCUUAACUGAACAAUUGCAGCAGCUUCAUUUUGGUUCUUCUUUCUUCCAGUCUCAUCUCUUGAAAUCCAUGCAGAGUGUUUCUACAAGAGAGAUCUUAAAAAAAACCCAAAACUUGAAUAUCUUUACUGGCUUCAAAAGUUCCUUGGGUUUCCUCAAAAUAUGAUAUUAUGUUUCUUAGUAUGGGCUUUGGACCUCCUGCAUCAGAAUCACUGUCAAAAAUGUAUAUUCCAGAAUUUGGAAUUUGCACUUAUAACAAGCUUCCCAGGUGAUCCAUGUGCACUCAAAACAUUUAAAAAUUACUGACCUGAAUGAUAAAGAUUCUAUUGUUUAUACAAUCAUCAGAACCCUGCUUAUGUCUGCUGCGUUAUCUUGUACCAUGCCAUGUCACCUGUGUUACCCUCUACUCAUAGUGAACCAUACCUAGUUCUGGAAACGUGGUCAUUGAUCAGAAAAUAAGGCUUUAUUUAGGUCCAGUGAGGGCUUGGCAUUUCUGGGUCACUCUAAGUUCUCAGCAGUUUAUCAGUUCAACUAGUUAAAACCAGUUGUGGUGAAACACAUCAUUCAGUUUUAUUACAUUCUAGGCAAGUGUUGAAGUAAAUGUAAAAUUUUCUUUUUCACCCAGUAGUUAUGAUAGACACCAAAAUCCCUUCCUCCAAAACUGCACCAUCCAAUACAGUAGCCACUAAUUUCAUGUGCAUUGAAUUGUGGUUGAUCUAAAUUGAGACGUACUGUAUAUAUGUUAGAUUUUUGAAACAGUGUGAAAGAGUAAUGUAAAAUAUUUCAUUAAUGUGUUUAAAUAUUAACUCUGUGUGUCAAAAUGAGAAGACUUUGGAUGUAUAUUGAAUGAAAUAAAAUGUUACUCAAAU
rnacentral:lncRNA from 1 species